GGGCCCUUAGCUCAGUGGUUAGAGCUGUCGGCUCAUAACCGAUUGGUCCCUGGUUCGAAUCCAGGAGGGCCCA
rnacentral:tRNA from 1 species